GCCUUCGUAGUGUAGUGGUUCUGCACGCUGGGCUGGCAUUCCAGAGGUCCGUGGUUCGAUUCCCGGCGAAGGCG
rnacentral:tRNA from 1 species